rnacentral:rRNA from 1 species
ACGAACGCUGGCGGCAUGCCUAACACAUGCAAGUCGAACGAGACCUUCGGGUCUAGUGGCGCACGGGUGCGUAACGCGUGGGAACCUGCCCUUAGGUUCGGAAUAACUCCCCGAAAGGGGUGCUAAUACCGGAUAAUGUCUUCGGACCAAAGAUUUAUCGCCUUUGGAUGGGCCCGCGUUGGAUUAGCUAGUUGGUAGGGUAAAAGCCUACCAAGGCAACGAUCCAUAGCUGGUCUGAGAGGAUGAUCAGCCACACUGGGACUGAGACACGGCCCAGACUCCUACGGGAGGCAGCAGUGGGGAAUAUUGGACAAUGGGCGAAAGCCUGAUCCAGCAAUGCCGCGUGAGUGAUGAAGGCCUUAGGGUUGUAAAGCUCUUUUACCCGGGAUGAUAAUGACAGUACCGGGAGAAUAAGCUCCGGCUAACUCCGU